UUUAACAUCUUACGCAUAGCAUUUAUUUUAUAUAUUUAGACGAUAGAAUUUACUUACUUUUAAACUUUAAAAAAUAUUAUCGCGCGGCUAUUACGAUAUCGUAUAAUUUUAUUUGAGUACUAAUAAAUAUAUUUUUAUAUUAGGUAAUACUUUAGCACGCGUUAAUAUAUAACUAACUAAAGAGUGUCUUUCAUCUUAAUUUAGGAGCCCAAAUGAAUAUAAGGAAGAAACUAUCUUAAAUCCAAAAUAAAAGACUUCAUAUUAGCCCAACUAUAUAAUUUCUGAUCUCAAACUUCAGCCAAUUUAAAGAUCAUCAGUUUCAGCCCAAAUUCGCAGCCCAUUAGCCAAUAGAAGAGUCCGGCUCAUAAUUCUUUUAACUCAUUUUUCCAUCCCAAAUAUUCAGCCACAAACGUCUCCUUCAUCUAUUUUCCCUUUCAAGCAAAGCUUCAGUACCCUACAGCAAUGGCAGUGGCUUGCCCUCUCCGUUUUCGUAAAAGUCUUCAGAUCUUGGCGUUUCACUGACAAAAGGACGACUCUUUUCAGCAUAUUUGACCACGAUUUGAAACGUUGGGCUUUUUUGAAGCAAUGAGACAAGAGUGAAAUCUUCUCCUUUUUCAAUUUAGCUCUCCUCCUCGCCACUUUUGGAAAAA